GCUAUACUAGAAUCAUCUAAAUUUGAAGCAUAAUAAGUCCCUAAAAGGAAAAGUAUCAUAAUGUGACCAUAAUAAUUGUGGGAGGUCCAAUUUCCUUGCAGCAAUUUAGUUUUGUAAGCAGUGGCAGUAUAAGAAUUAAAUGCAUGCUGAACACACAUACAAUACAUCAUAACAGCAUAUUCAUUUCAUAGUUCCCAGUUGCAAGAAAUGUUUCAGAACUAUAUCUUGUGAAUGAUACAGAAAUCUGCAGAAUCCAUCUAAAGGAGAAACCAGAACUAAUAAUUUUGUUCGUUGGAAAAGAAACUAAUAGCCUAAACCAAAGCUAUACU
rnacentral:misc_RNA from 1 species